CAGUCGCCGCGGGAAAACAGAGGAUGCAAGCGUUAUCCGGAAUGAUUGGGCGUAAAGCGUCUGUAGGUGGCUUUUCAAGUCCGCCGUCAAAUCCCAGGGCUCAACCCUGGACAGGCGGUGGAAACUACCAAGCUGGAGUACGGUAGGGGCAGAGGGAAUUUCCAGUGGAGCGGUGAAAUGCGUUGAGAUCGAAAAGAACACCAACAGCGAAAGCACUCUGCUGGGACGACACUGACACUAAGAGACGAAAGCUAGGGGAGCAAAUGGGAUUAGAGACCCGCGUAGUCCCUGUCUCUUAUAC
rnacentral:rRNA from 1 species